UACGGAGGGUGCGAGCGUUGUCCGGAAUUAUUGGGCGUAAAGAGCUCGUAGGCGGUUUGUCACGUCGGCUGUGAAAUCCCGGGGCUUAACCCCGGGCGUGCAGUGGAUACGGGCAGGCUGGAGGCAGGCAGGGGAGAACGGAAUUCCCGGUGUAGCGGUGAAAUGCGCAGAUAUCGGGAGGAACACCGGUGGCGAAGGCGGUUCUCUGGGCCUGUACUGACGCUGAGGAGCGAAAGCGUGGGGAGCGAACAGG
rnacentral:rRNA from 1 species